GUUCUUGCUUAGGAGGCACAUAUAUAAAAUUGGAAUGAUACAGAGAUUAGUAUGGCCCCUGUGCAAGGAUGACAUGCAAAUUCAUGAAGUGUUGCAUAUUUUU
rnacentral:snRNA from 1 species